rnacentral:lncRNA from 1 species
UGUGGUGGUUAUAGGGGGCCGAGGCCUGGACUGAAGUGCCCAGGUACUUUUGUCUGUGUGCUUCCCAGCUCUUGUUAGACCCUCAUCCUGAAGGAGCUGUGGCUGAGGGGGCCAGGACCCGUCCAGGUCAGCGCACUAGCUGUGCCCUGCUGGGGCUCAGCUUGAGAAAGAGAAGGAGCUCUUGGUGUGGACACUUCCCGAGUGGACGAAGAGCCUUGGGCGGCGGCUGGGGGCGGUGCGAGGGCAGAAGGCAGGCGGACAGGAAGGCCCUGGCUGCAGAGAAAGGUGGCCAGCGGCCAGCCCCGCCCUGUCCCCACCUGUGUGCGCUCAGCCUCCGCCCCGCAUGGAGGA